ensembl:lncRNA
GAAGGGGAGCGCUGCCAAAGCGCAGGAGUCGGUCAAUGCGGGAUGCGCCGCGCUGCAAAAAUUGAACUUUCCCUCUGCCAUACAGCGGCCUUUGAAAGCAUUCAAUUAUCUCCCCGCACCUAUAGAAAAUGUUGGAAUUGCUUCCCAAAGUCUUUAAGGGCUCUGUCUGUGUGUUAAAGGCGCGCGGCUGCUCCGUGGUGGAGGAAAUUAAAAACCCUCGACAACAAUCUGUUUGUUUACCUGCAGAGCAGUGAGCGAGCCGGGUUCAUCUGGAAACAUCCUUGGCUGUGUCUGUGCUUGCUGCUCGCCGAGCAAGGAGCGCUGCUGCACUGAGGGCAUCAUCUGAGGGCUCACAGAGGGCAGGAGGAGGAGGAUGAAGGGUGAAUGCUCCCUGCACCACCAGGAAGGGGGAGCAAAGGGAGGCGUGCGGCUGAUGGCUGGUGGGCGCCGAGUAUGGAGAAGUGCCCCUGUCAUAGAGCCAUAGGAUGGCUCAGGUUGGAGGGGAGCUCAAAGCCCACCCAGUGCCACCCCCGGCCAUGGGCAGGGCUGCCCCCCACCAGCUCAGGCUGCCCAGGGCCCCAUCCCACCUGGCCUUGAGUGCCUGCAGGGAUGGGGCACCCACAAGAUCUCACCCAACCCUUUGCUCUCUCUGACGGACUUGAUAGGAGCCCUGUCCAACAGAAUAAAACUCCUGAGAAGCAGCAGCAGAGUUUUAGGCAGUGCCCCCUCUGACAUGUGUUUGCAGGUCCUUGGGACGUUGUAGUGCAGAGCAUUUCCAGGAGCUGGAGGUGCAGAGAAAUCCCCCACACUGCUCUCUAUCUGAUAGAUGCAAAAGGCAAAUGUUUCACGUUAAUGGGGAUUGACAUAUGGUGGGAUUAUUUUUUUUAAGUAGUUCUUCUCGUUCCCUAGGCAGUUUUGAUGUGAAUAUUAAUACUAACAUAAUUUCACGAUGAUUAGAGAACACAAUUAGGGGCUAUUAAUAAUGACACAAAUAAUGACAUUUAAGGCCCCAUUUUCAUGUGAGUAAUACUCUGUCUGGUGGUAUUUAAACAGCUCUGUCUAGCACAAUUACUGCGGUGCCAAGGUGCAACCGCAUAAUCGCAGUAUCAGUCACACAGCUCCAUGUGAGCUCCUGCCCCCUGAGCCGUGGGAGCACAAAGCAAGAUGUUGCCACGCCACCAGCACUGCAUGGUACCACGAAUGACUGUGCUUUCAGAUCCACUUUGCUCUCCAAAGUGGGUGCCUCAAUGAGAACCCCCCCCCCAGCAAACCCCGUGCGGUGCCAUUUGGAUCCCACCGACCUCCUGCGCCCCCUGAAUGGAGC